CCUACGGGUGGCAGCAGUGGGGAAUAUUGCACAAUGGGGGGAACCCUGAUGCAGCGACGCCGCGUGGGUGAAGGAGUAUUUCGGUAUGUAAAGCCCUAUCAGCAGGGAAGAACAAUGACGGUACCUGACUAAGAAGCACCGGCUAAAUACGUGCCAGCAGCAGCGGUAAUACGUAGGGUGCAAGCGUUAUCCGGAUUUACUGGGUGUAAAGGGAGCGCAGGCGGCGUGUUAAGCCUGGUGUGAAAGCCGGCGGCACAACCGGGGGACUGCAUUGGGAACUGGCGCGCUGGAGUGCUGGAGGGGUAGGUGGAAUUCCGGGUGUAGCGGUGAAAUGCGUAGAGAUUAGGAGGAAUACCAGUGGCGAAGGCGGCCUACUGGACGGUGACUGACGCUGAGGUUCGAAAGCGUGGGGAGCAAACAGGAUUAGAUACCCUUGUAGUC
rnacentral:rRNA from 1 species